GCUCCGGUGGCUUAGUGGUUACAGCGUCCGCCUCAGAAGCGGAAUGUCGCGGGUUCGAACCUUGACUGAGCCA